GGGUCAGUAGGUUGGUCGUGCCACCGGUACGUACUGGUCUCACUGAUUCCUCCUUCCUGAAGAACCGUAAUGCCAUUUAUUUGGUGUUGCGGGGAAACAGGACUGUUACUUUGAAAAAAUUAGAGUGUUUAAAGCAAGCUAACGCUUGAAUACAUUAGCAUGGAAUGAUGAAAUAGGACGAUCGAUCCUAUUUUGUUGGUUUCUAGGUUUGACGUA
rnacentral:rRNA from 1 species